GAUGAACGCUGGCGGCGUGCCUAAUACAUGCAAGUCGAGCGAAUGGAUUAAGAGCUUGCUCUUAUGAAGUUAGCGGCGGACGGGUGAGUAACACGUGGGUAACCUGCCCAUAAGACUGGGAUAACUCCGGGAAACCGGGGCUAAUACCGGAUAACAUUUUGAACCGCAUGGUUCGAAAUUGAAAGGCGGCUUCGGCUGUCACUUAUGGAUGGACCCGCGUCGCAUUAGCUAGUUGGUGAGGUAACGGCUCACCAAGGCAACGAUGCGUAGCCGACCUGAGAGGGUGAUCGGCCACACUUGGACUGAAACACGGCCCAGACUCCUCCGGGAGGCAGCAGUAGGGAAUCUUCCGCAAUGGACGAAAGUCUGACGGAGCAACGCCGCGUGAGUGAUGAAGGCUUUCGGGUCGUAAAACUCUGUUGUUAGGGAAGAACAAGUGCUAGUUGAAUAAGCUGGCACCUUGACGGUACCUAACCAGAAAGCCACGGCUAACUACGUGCCAGCAGCCGCGGUAA
rnacentral:rRNA from 1 species